rnacentral:rRNA from 1 species
GACGAACGCUGGCGGCGUGCUUAACACAUGCAAGUCGAACGGAAAGGCCCUGCUUUUGUGGGGUGCUCGAGUGGCGAACGGGUGAGUAACACGUGAGUAACCUGCCCUUGACUUUGGGAUAACUUCAGGAAACUGGGGCUAAUACCGGAUAGGAGCUCCUGCUGCAUGGUGGGGGUUGGAAAGUUUCGGCGGUUGGGGAUGGACUCGCGGCUGAUCAGCUUGUUGGUGGGGUAGUGGCUUACCAAGGCUUUGACGGGUAGCCGGCCGGGGAGGGUGAGCGGCCACACUGGGACUGAGAUACGGCCCAGACUCCUACGGGAGGCAGCAGUGGGGAAUAGUGCACAAUGGGCGGAAGCCUGAUGCAGCAACGCCGCGCGCGGGAUGACGGCCUUCGGGUUGUAAACCGCUUUCGCCUGUGACGAAGCGUGAGUGACGGUAAUGGGUAAAGAAGCACCGGCUAACUACGUG